CCCAAAUAAUAACUGUAAAAUUUGGUAUGGAAAAAAUCCCUGAACUGUAGGCUUAGGGCCUACCAAAGACAUGUAUCAGACAUCAAAGUAAAAGGUGUUUCAAGAGAACUAGCUAACCAAAGUUGGGAUGAAGUAUAUAGAGAAAUCAAUGUAGAUGGGAAAUUCUCAACAUGAUUUAAAUUGAACUUUGAAAACACAUUUCCAAAAACAUGCUCAUCGGUAUCUAUGUUCCACACACAAAAAAAAAGGAUAACAGCAAAUAUUAGGAAGACCUCCGAUACCUUCAAGUUUCCCAGUUCCAUUAAAAAGAGCCAUAACGAGCCACAAUUCUUAAAUUUCCAUCACAGGUACGAAAAGGUAUAUAGAAAAACGCUAAGUGCUGGAAAAAAGUAAUUUGAUGACAAAAUAACAUAGUGCAGAGAAUAAAGGCAAAGCAGGCAGGGGUGCGAUUAAAAAGGAAACAGGGAGAGAGAAACAAAGGAAUAAAAGCCUACUGAUAAGGGAGGGGGAUAAAGUAUAAAUGAUCAGUGCCAGCUGGCAAUGUGAACAAGCAUUUUCCAGGCAUUUGAGAGAAAUUACAACAGAAAUUCUCCAAAACAAAUAUAGCACAUGUAAUUAAAUUUUCACUAUGUACAAUGAUAUAACUACCAAGGAUUAAAUCAGUAGAACCGUAGAAAACAUUAAACUUAAAAAGUAUAGAUGAUAGAAAGUAUAGUUGAAGCAGCAAUGUGUGAGCUGGAACAAUGCAUACAGAGUAUAGAAGCUCCCCUAACACACGCAAUAAAUGAAUCAUUCACAUCAGGGAAAUUUCCAGAGUAUUUAAAACAGUCAAGAGUUGUAGCUCUACUAAAGAAACGUACUGCAGAAGACAUAUAAAACUACCAGCCCAUUUCCCUGCUGUGAUCAUUCUCAAAACUAAUAGAAUCAAUUAUGACUGACAGAUUAGUGAAUUAAAAAUGGAUAGCCCAGGUUGGAAUAUCGCCAGUUAUGAAAAUGUAGACUGCUACUCACCUUAAAGCUGACAUGUUGAGUUGCAGACAGGCACAACAAAAAGACUGUUACACACUAAUCUCUCAGCCAGAGCUUACUUCAGAGAAGAAAUGAAAACACACACACAUUCACAUAAGCAAACACGUCAUGCAUGCAUGACUUCUAUCUCCACCCACUAUAGCCAGAGCAGCUUUAGUCUGAGAAAUAGCGGUCGUGGAUGCAUGAAGUGUGCCCACUUAUGUGAAUGUGUGUGAAUUUGCUUUCCUUUUCUGAAGAUGGCUCUGGCCAAAAGCUUAAUUUGUAACAGUCUUUUUCUUAUGCUUGUCUGCAACUCGAAGUGUGUCAUCGUUAACGGUGAGUAGCACUCUCUCCUUUUCAUAAAUGAUGUGAUUAGUGAACUGCUUGAAUAGGUGAAUAAUGAAUCACAGUUUGGUUCCUAAAGUGGUAAAAGUGCAGAAUCAGCUGUAGUAGAACUCAGAAAAGUGGAACUUGAUGCUGUUGACAAAGACUGGCCUUAUAUUGAGGAAGGUGAAGGCACAGAUCUUCAUCCAGCCAACUUGAUUUAGCUUUUCUGUGGUUUUCCUAAAUUACUUCAGGCAAAUAUCAGGAUGGUGUCUAUUACAAGGGUACAGCCAACUACCCGUUCCAUUAUUGGCAGACUAGACCUACCAGCACAAGAACGCAGGUUCAGGUGCGAGGCUCUACUGACUACUGUUCUUACCAGUGGCUGGUGGCACUCGACUGUUUUAUGAGUCUACAUUUGAAUACACUGUCUGGCCAAAUUUUAGUUCAUGAGGCAUAGUUUUUAUGUACUGGACAUGCAUAAUUGUGUACUGGAAAUGGAAAACGUAGAAAGUGUCAGGAAUAAAAAUUUUCAGAAUGCAGUAAAAACUGAUUUGAACUUUUAACUGUAAACCUCAAAAUUCUGAAAAAAGUGUUAACAGUACAACACAACAGUACAACACAUGUAACAUAGUAACAUGUUUAAGAGUACAGUUUUUUACAUAUGUACACACAUGUAACUUGAUGUAGUACAGGAAAAGUUGAGUGUGCCAUCUGUUGAUUUUUUAGGAAUGUCGUAUCUAUCAUGCUUGUGUGAUUAAAAAACUGAAUGUUCAGCUUUUUUUUUGCAUAAAUGAUGAAUGUUCUUAGUAUUUUUGACAAGUUUAUUAACAGUAUUUGAUUUAGUUUGAUUUUUAAAACAGUUUUGUCCAUAAAAUUUAUCCAUCUUAACAGAUUUCUUUGUCAGCUUUUUUAUACGUUUACUGUAAGUGAAUGGUUUGAAAAAAACUUGUUUGGAAAUGUUGACAUUUUUCUUACAUUGUAUUGUACUUAACAUGCAGAAUAUAAGAAUGACCUUUGUAACAGAUAAAUUAUAUAUAACAAAAUUAAAGAAGUGUGACUCCUGCUUAUUUUCAUAGAUAAACAAAAUUUUAUGUUUUUUUGUAUGUCUCCCCUUUCACAUGCACUGGAACUUAAUGCACAUAAACUUAAUGCUGCCAUCUGAAAUGCUAAUUUUAUAAAUGUGCAACUGAAACCACUGAAACUGUGUUCUAUAAUCUAACUCUGAAUGUUUGUAAGACUGUGCCUUUUAUAAUUUUGACCUGAGGGGAAGCUACGUGCCUCACACUAGCACCACGUCUCAGCUAGCACUUGUAUCUGUUAAUCUUUUCAACCAAGUCGACAGUUGGUGACCUGCUUAUAUAUAGAUUUUAUUGAAACUCUUGACACUGAACAUUGUUUUACAAGUUCUAGGUUUUGUUACAUGAACAUUUAAAAUUUUUAAACAUUUUAAUUUUUCAUGCUUUGUAGUCUGAUAAUGUAUCAGUAACAUCUCUCAUU